rnacentral:misc_RNA from 1 species
GUGAAUCAUCGAAUUUUUGAACGCAAAUUGCACCCUCCUCGGAGAGUAUGCGUGUUUGUGGGUCAGCCUCUAAAAAUUGACAUCUUUGCUGUUUCGCGGUUGCGUUCGGCGGAAAUUGGUUCAUCUUAAAUCCUUUUGAUUUAAGCGACUUAAAAUUUUCUUUUGGUUACAUGAACGUUUCGAAGA